UACGAAGGGGGCUAGCGUUGCUCGGAAUUACUGGGCGUAAAGCGCACGUAGGCGGCUUUCUAAGUCGGAGGUGAAAUCCUGGAGCUCAACUCCAGAACUGCCUUCGAUACUGGAGAGCUCGAGUCCGGGAGAGGUGAGUGGAACUGCGAGUGUAGAGGUGAAAUUCGUAGAUAUUCGCAAGAACACCAGUGGCGAAGGCGGCUCACUGGCCCGGUACUGACGCUGAGGCACGAAAGCGUGGGGAGCAAACAGG
rnacentral:rRNA from 1 species